AGUGAACGCUGGCGGUAGGCCUAACACAUGCAAGUCGAACGGCAGCACAGUAAGAGCUUGCUCUUACGGGUGGCGAGUGGCGGACGGGUGAGGAAUACAUCGGAAUCUACUUUUUCGUGGGGGAUAACGUAGGGAAACUUACGCUAAUACCGCAUACGACCUACGGGUGAAAGCAGGGGAUCUUCGGACCUUGCGCGAUUGAAUGAGCCGAUGUCGGAUUAGCUAGUUGGCGGGGUAAAGGCCCACCAAGGCGACGAUCCGUAGCUGGUCUGAGAGGAUGAUCAGCCACACUGGAACUGAGACAGGGUCCAGACUCUUACGGGGGGCAGCGGUGGGGAAUAUUGGACAAGGGGCGCAAGCCGGAUCCAGCCAUACCGCGGGGGUGAAGAAGGCCUUCGGGUGGUAAAGCCCUUUUGUUGGGAAAGAAAAGCAGCAGGUUAAUACCCCGAUGUUCUGACGGUACCCAAAGAAUAAGCACCGGCUAACUUCGUG
rnacentral:rRNA from 1 species